GGGGCCGUGGCGCAGUUUGGUAGCGCGUCUGACUGGCAGUCAGAAGGUCACGGGUUCGAGUCCCGUCGGCUCCA
rnacentral:tRNA from 1 species